rnacentral:sRNA from 1 species
CAUGGGACUUCAGCAUGGCGGUGUUUGCAGAUUUGGACCUGCGAGCGGGUUCUGACCUGAAGGUUCUGCGCGGACUUGUGGAAACAGCCGCUCACCUUGGCUAUUCAGUUGUUGCUAUCAAUCAUAUCGUUGACUUUAAGGAAAAGAAACAGGAAAUUGAAAAACCGGUAGCUGUUUCUGAACUCUUCACAACUUUGCCAAUUGUACAGGGAAAAUCAAGACCAAUUAAAAUUUUAACUAGAUUAACAAUUAUUGUCUCGGAUCCAUCUCACUGCAAUGUUUUGAGAGCAACUUCUUCAAGGGCCCGGCUCUAUGAUGUUGUUGCAGUUUUUCCAAAGACAGAAAAGCUUUUUCAUAUUGCUUGUACACAUUUAGAUGUAGAUUUAGUCUGCAUAACUGUAACAGAGAAACUACCAUUUUACUUCAAAAGACCUCCUAUUAAUGUGGCAAUUGACCGAGGCCUGGCUUUUGAACUUGUCUAUAGCCCUGCUAUCAAAGACUCCACAAUGAGAAGGUAUACAAUUUCCAAUGCCCUCAAUUUGAUGCAAAUCUGCAAAGGAAAGGUAUGAUUCUAUAAUUUUAGGAUGUUUUUCGCAUCUGGCAGUUUAUUAUUAGUAGUACACUGGAAUUGUCAAACUGACUCCUUUUCCUUAAAGCAGAAUGUUCUCAUAGCAUUAGGAAUAAAUUCUUCCAUUUCAGUGAGCUCUGCAAGUUUUAAGGGAAAGAAAAAUACCAAGGGAAGAAUAAUGUAAGGGAGAAAAAGAUGUGUUGGAAGCCAUAUCUUUUGAUAAAAAUUUGCAGUUUACAUACUGUGAAAGAAAAGUCUAGAAUAACAGUUGUCCUCACUGAGUUGAAUUAAGAUAUGUGACCUUUUCAUCUUGUUUUUUAAACUUAGUUCAUCUUUACUAAGAUCUGUUAGGAAAACAUAUUUUGUUUUUUAUUACAGAUUGCCUUUAGUUUGACAUGAAGUCUUUCAUUUUUUUCACCUUAAUUAUUUACCAUAUCUUUAAAAGAAGUUGGUAUUUGAGCCUUAAAUGUUAAAAUAUGAUUACUGGCUAUUUAUAUUAUGAAACUCCUUUUUUUGCAUUUAUCUAAGAUUAAUAUUAAUCACUUUCUAUUUUGUAGAAUGUAAUUAUAUCUAGUGCUGCAGAAAGGCCUUUAGAAAUAAGAGGGCCAUAUGAUGUGGCAAACCUAGGCUUGCUGUUUGGGCUCUCUGAAAGUGAUGCCAAGGCUGCGGUUUCCACCAACUGCCGAGCAGCGCUUCUCCAUGGAGAAACUAGAAAAACUGCUUUUGGAAUUAUUUCUACAGUGAAGAAACCUCGGCCAUCAGAAGAUGAAGAUUGUCUUCCAGCUUCCAAGAAAGCCAAGUGUGAGGGCUGAAAAGAAUGCCCCAGUCUCUGUCAGCACUCCCUUCUUCCCUUUUAUAGUUCAUCAGCCACAACAAAAAUAAAACCUUUGUGUGA